CAGUCCAUCAACGCCCAUCCUUCCAACUGCAUCUGUAUCAAGUUUGACCCCAUGGGGAAGUACUUUGCCACAGGAAGUGCAGAUGCUUUGGUCAGCCUCUGGGAUGUGGAUGAGUUAGUGUGUGUUCGGUGCUUUUCCAGGCUGGAUUGGCCUGUAAGAACCCUCAGUUUCAGCCAUGAUGGGAAAAUGCUGGCGUCAGCAUCGGAAGAUCAUUUUAUUGACAUUGCUGAAGUGGAGACAGGUAACUUCAUGAGAAUCUACCGUCUUUCACCUUUGGCAGUCAGGACUUCUCUUGUGAUCUCAUCUCUGCAUGUGACUACUUCACCAGCAUGAUCAUGAAUGAAUUUGUCUCCUUUAGACAAGUAUGUUUCUGUUUUGACUGUCACUGCCAGGUGGUGAGGAAGCAAAGAGUUAAGAAAUAAACAGGCAGGUCUGAGGAAGGUGAUUUAGAAAAAUAUUUUGAUUUAUUUAAACUUUAAACUACAGAGU
ensembl:lncRNA novel transcript